AUGAUCCGUCAAUAUUGGUGGGGUGUUGAAAACGGGAAGAAGAAGAUGGCCUGGAUGAGCUGGGACAGAUUGAGGCUACCUAAAUCUAUGGGUGGCAUGGGGUUUAAGGACAUGAGGGCUUUUAACCAAGCAUUGUUGGCCAAACAAGCUUGGCGCUUGAUAGACACGUCGGACAGCCUCUGUGCACGAUUUAUGAAGGCCAGAUAUUACCCUUCGGGACAGCUGUUGGAUACGGCUUUCUCAGGCAACGGUUCUUCAGUUUGAAAGGGUAUUUUACAUGGUCUUGACCUGCUAAAGAGAGUUCUUAUUUGGAGGGUUGGCAACGGAGCUGAUAUUUGUACGUGGAGAGACCUUUGGAUCCCU
rnacentral:rRNA from 1 species